rnacentral:tRNA from 1 species
GAAGAAAUGGCUCAGUGGUUAAGAGCACUGGCUGUUUUUCCAAAGGAUCUGGGUUCAAUUUCCAGCAUCUACA